rnacentral:rRNA from 1 species
UACGGGGGGGGCAAGCGUUGUUCGGAAUUACUGGGCGUAAAGCGCACGUAGGCGGCCUUCUAAGUCGAACGUGAAAUCCCCGGGCUCAACCCGGGAACUGCGUCCGAUACUGGAAGGCUUGAAUCCGGGAGAGGGAUGCGGAAUUCCAGGUGUAGCGGUGAAAUGCGUAGAUAUCUGGAGGAACACCGGUGGCGAAGGCGGCAUCCUGGACCGGUAUUGACGCUGAGGCGCGAAAGCCAGGGGAGCAAACGGG